rnacentral:rRNA from 4 species
CGCGUGUGUGAAGAAGGCCUUCGGGUUGUAAAGCACUUUCAGUGAGGAAGAAAGCCUUGAGGUUAAUACCCUCGAGGGAGGACAUCACUCACAGAAGAAGCACCGGCUAACUCCGUGCCAGCAGCCGCGGUAAUACGGAGGGUGCGAGCGUUAAUCGGAAUUACUGGGCGUAAAGCGCGCGUAGGCGGCUUGAUAAGCCGGUUGUGAAAGCCCCGGGCUCAACCUGGGAACGGCAUCCGGAACUGUCAGGCUAGAGUGCAGGAGAGGAAGGUAGAAUUCCCGGUGUAGCGGUGAAAUGCGUAGAGAUCGGGAGGAAUACCAGUGGCGAAGGCGGCCUUCUGGACUGACACUGACGCUGAGGUGCGAAAGCGUGGGUAGCAAACAGGAUUAGAUACCCUGGUAGUCCACGCCGUAAACGAUGUCGACUAGCCGUUGGGCUCCUUGAGAGCUUUGUGGCGCAGUUAACGCGAUAAGUCGACCGCCUGGGGAGUACGGCCGCAAGGUUAAAACUCAAAUGAAUUGACGGGGGCCCGCACAAGCGGUGGAGCAUGUGGUUUAAUUCGAUGCAACGCGAAGAACCUUACCUACCCUUGACAUCGAGAGAACUUUCCAGAGAUGGAUUGGUGCCUUCGGGAGCUCUCAGACAGGUGCUGCAUGGCUGUCGUCAGCUCGUGUUGUGAAAUGUUGGGUUAAGUCCCGUAACGAGCGCAACCC